rnacentral:rRNA from 1 species
AUUAGACGAAUCAUCUGGAAAGAUGAAUCAAAGAAGGUAAUAAUCCUGUAGUCGAAAAUGUUGUCUCUCUUGAGUGGAUCCUGAGUACGACGGAGCACGUGAAAUUCCGUCGGAAUCUGGGAGGACCAUCUCCUAAGGCUAAAUACUCUCUAGUGACCGAUAGUGAACCAGUACCGUGAGGGAAAGGUGAAAAGCACCCCGGAAGGGGAGUGAAAUAGAACCUGAAACCGUGUGCUUACAAGUAGUCAGAGCCCGUUAAUGGGUGAUGGCGUGCCUUUUGUAGAAUGAACCGGCGAGUUACGAUUUGAUG